rnacentral:rRNA from 1 species
AGAGUUUGAUCAUGGCUCAGAACGAACGCUGGCGGCAGGCUUAACACAUGCAAGUCGAACGGUUGUAGCAAUACAGCAGUGGCAGACGGGUGAGUAACACGUGGGAACCUUCCUAGGGGUACGGAACAACUCAGGGAAACUUGAGCUAAUACCGUAUACGUCCGUGAGGAGAAAGAUUUAUCGCCCCUAGACGGGCCCGCGUAGGAUUAGGUAGUUGGUGAGGUAACGGCUCACCAAGCCUACGAUCCUUAGCUGAUCUGAGAGGACGACCAGCCACACUGGGACUGAGACACGGCCCAGACUCCUACGGGAGGCAGCAGUGGGGAAUUUUGGACAAUGGGCGCAAGCCUGAUCCAGCCAUGCCGCGUGUGUGAAGAAGGCCUUCGGGUUGUAAAGCACUUUCGGACGGAACGAAAUCGCGCGGUUGAAUAUUCCGCGUGGAUGACGGUACCGUAAGAAGAG